UGACUGUACUAAGGUAGCAUAAUAAUUAGCCUUUUAAUUAAUGGCUAGCAUGAACGGUUCUACUAAAGAGAAAGUUUUUUAGAUUAACUAUUGAAAUUGGAAUAAAAAUAAAAAUAUUCUUAUUACUUCUUUAGACGAGAAGACCCUUAGAAGCUUUCAUUAUCUAUAUAAUUUUAGUUGGGGCGACUAAUGAAAAUAAAUAACUUUAAAAUUCAUAAAUAAACAAUUUAAGUUACUCUAGGGUUAACAGCGUAAUUUAAUUUAAGAGU
rnacentral:rRNA from 1 species